rnacentral:rRNA from 1 species
AACGAACGCUGGCGGCAUGCCUAACACAUGCAAGUCGAACGAGACCUUCGGGUCUAGUGGCGCACGGGUGCGUAACGCGUGGGAACCUGCCCUUAGGUUCGGAAUAACUCCCCGAAAGGGGUGCUAAUACCGGAUAAUGUCUUCGGACCAAAGAUUUAUCGCCUUUGGAUGGGCCCGCGUUGGAUUAGCUAGUUGGUAGGGUAAAAGCCUACCAAGGCGACGAUCCAUAGCUGGUCUGAGAGGAUGAUCAGCCACACUGGGACUGAGACACGGCCCAGACUCCUACGGGAGGCAGCAGUGGGGAAUAUUGGACAGGGGGCGAAAGCCUGAUCCAGCAAUGCCGCGGGAGUGAUGAAGGCCUUAGGGUUGUAAAGCUCUUUUACCCGGGAUGAUAAUGACAGUACCGGGAGAAUAAGCUCCGGCUAACUCCGUG